GAUGAACGCUGGCGGCGUGCCUAACACAUGCAAGUCGAACGGAGUUUUAUGAAGUUUUCGGACGGAUUAAAACUUAGUGGCGGACGGGUGAGUAACGCGUGGGUAACCUGCCUCAUACAGGGGGGAUAACAGCUGGAAACGGCUGCUAAAACCGCAUAAGCAUACACUGCCGCAUGGCAGAGUGUGAAAAAUAUUAAUAGGUAUGAGAUGGGCCCGCGUCUGAUUAGCUAGUUGGUAAGGUAACGGCUUACCAAGGCGACGAUCAGUAGCCGGCUUGAGAGAGUGACCGGCCACAUUGGGACUGAGACACGGCCCAAACUCCUACGGGUGGCAG
rnacentral:rRNA from 1 species